CAAGUGAAUAUUGUGUCAAUGCUACAGUCUGACUGCUUACAGGAGAGUUUUUCCUGUUUGCUGAUGGAGGAGAGAAAUUCUUCAUUUGCAUACACCUGGAAGACAACAGAUUAUGCUGGAAAAUACUUCCUGCACUUCCACUUCAGUGCUGUUGCUCUGGGAUGGCAGGAUGGUGUCUCAAACACCAGGUGCCAGGGAAUCCACAGUAGAUAA
rnacentral:lncRNA from 1 species